rnacentral:rRNA from 1 species
CAGCAGCCGCGGUAAUACGUAGGGUGCAAGCGUUAAUCGGAAUUACUGGGCGUAAAGCGUGCGCAGGCGGUUCUAUAAGACAGAUGUGAAAUCCCCGGGCUCAACCUGGGAACUGCAUUUGUGACUGUAGAGCUGGAGUACGGCAGAGGGGGAUGGAAUUCCGCGUGUAGCAGUGAAAUGCGUAGAUAUGCGGAGGAACACCGAUGGCGAAGGCAAUCCCCUGGGCCUGUACUGACGCUCAUGCACGAAAGCGUGGGGAGCAAACAGGAUUAGAUACCCCUGUAGUCCCUGUCUCUUAUAC